GGAUGUGGCUCAAGUGGUAGAGUGCUUGCCUGGCAUGCAGGAGGCACUGGGUUUGAUCCUUAGCACCA
rnacentral:tRNA from 1 species